UACGUAGGGGCGAGCGUUGUCCGGAUUCAUUGGGCGUAAAGAGCUCGUAGGCGGUUCAGUAAGUCAGGUGUGAAAUCCUCCGCGCUCAACGCGGAGCGGCCACCUGAUACUGCUGUGACUCGGAGUCCGGUAGGGGAGUGUGGAAUUCCCGGUGUAGCGGUGAAAUGCGCAGAUAGUCGGGAAGAACGACCCGUGGCGAAGGCGG
rnacentral:rRNA from 1 species